GACCUGGUGGUGAAUGGAUCAUACUUGCUAUUCUUGACUGGUUGCCCUGGGCUUGAAAGCAGGAGACCCCAGUUCAACUCUGGGCUGGGUCA